rnacentral:rRNA from 1 species
GACGAACGCUGGCGGCGUGCUUAAUACAUGCAAGUCGAACGGAAAGGCCCUGCUCUUGUGGGGUGCUCGAGUGGCGAACGGGUGAGUAACACGUGAGUAAACUGCACUUGACUUUGGGAUAACUCCAGGAAACUGGGGCUAAUACCGGAUAGGAGCUCCUGCUCCAUGGUGGGGGUUGGAAAGUUUCGGCGGUGGGGGAUGGUCUAGAUGCUUAUCAGCUUGUUUGUGGGGUAGUGGCUUACCAAGGGUUCGACGGGUAGCCGGCCUGAGAGGGUGACCGGGCACAUUGGGACUGAGGGACGGCCCAGACGCCUACGGGAGGCAGCAGGGGGGAAUAUUGCACAAUGGGCGGAAGCCUGAUGCAGCAACGCCGCGUUCGGGAUGACGGCUUUCGAGUUGUAAACCGCUUUGGCCGGUGACGAAGCGUGAGUGACGGUAAUGGGUCAAGAAGCACCGGCUAACUACGUG